UACGAAGGGUGCAAGCGUUGCUCGGAAUCAUUGGGCGUAAAGGGCAAGUAGGUGGUCUUGUUUGUCUAUUGUGAAAGCCUUGGGCUUAACCCAAGAAGUGCCAUAGAAACGGCAAGACUAGAGUACUGGAGAGGGUCGCAGAAUUCCCGGUGUAGCGGUGAAAUGCGUAGAGAUCGGGAGGAAUACCAGAGGCGAAAGCGGCGGCCUGGACAGUUACUGACACUCAACUGCGAAAGCGUGGGGAUCAAACAGG
rnacentral:rRNA from 1 species